AAUCAACGCUGGCGGCGUGCCUAACACAUGCAAGUCGAACGCGACUGGGGCUUCGGCCUCAGUUGAGUGGCGAACGGGUGAGUAACACGUGGGUGACCUACCUUCGAAUGGGGGAUAACGUCCCGAAAGGGACGCUAAUACCGCAUAACAUCCUGCCUUUGAACAGGCGGAGAUCAAAGCCGGGGAUCGCAAGACCUGGCG
rnacentral:rRNA from 1 species